GACGAACGCUGGCGGCGUGCCUAAUACAUGCAAGUAGAACGCACAGUUUAUACCGUAGCUUGCUACACCAUAGACUGUGAGUUGCGAACGGGUGAGUAACGCGUAGGUAACCUGCCUGGUAGCGGGGGGUAACUAUUGGAAACGAUAGCUAAUACCGCAUAAUAUUGAUUAUUGCAUGAUAAUUGAUUGAAAGAUGCUAUUGCAUCACUACCAGAUGGACCUGCGUUGUAUUAGCUAGUAGGUGAGGUAACGGCUCACCUAGGCGACGAUACAUAGCCGACCUGAGAGGGUGAUCGGCCACACUGGGACUGAGACACGGCCAAGACUCCUACGGGAGGCAGCAGUCGGGAAUCUUCGGCAAUGGACGAAAGUCUGACCGAGCAACGCCGCGUGAGUGAAGAAGGUUGUCGGAUCGUAAAGCUCAGUUGUAAGAGAAGAACGGGUGUGAGAGUGGAAAGUUCACACUGUGACGGUAUCUUACCAGAAAGCGACGGCUAACUACGUG
rnacentral:rRNA from 1 species